AAACGAUGGGGUCAGCGCUUGAAGCAAAAUCUAGUGCAUGCCUUCGGGACGGUUAGCAACAAGGCC
rnacentral:ribozyme from 1 species